UAGGAGACUGCCGGUGCAAACCGGAGGAAGGUGGGGAUGACGUCAAGUCAUCAUGGCCCUUACGGCCAGGGCUACACACGUGCUACAAUGGUCGGUACAAAGGGUUGCCAAGCCGCGAGGUGGAGCUAAUCCCAUAAAACCGAUCGUAGUCCGGAUCGCAGUCUGCAACUCGACUGCGUGAAGUCGGAAUCGCUAGUAAUCGUGAAUCAGAAUGUCACGGUGAAUACGUUCCCGGGCCUU
rnacentral:rRNA from 1 species